UCCAGACUCCUACGGGAGUCAGCAGUGGGGAAUAUUGGGCAAUGGGCGCAAGCCUGACCCAGCAACGCCGCGUGAAGGAAGGAGGCUUUCGGGUUGUAAACUUCUUUUCUCAGGGACGAAGAAAGUGACGGUACCUGAGGAAUAAGCCACGGCUAACUACGUGCCAGCAGCCGCGGUAAUACGUAGGUGGCGAGCGUUAUCCGGAUUUACUGGGUGUAAAGGGCGUGUAGGCGGGAGAGCAAGUCAGAUGUGAAAACUACAGGCUUAACCUGUAGCCUGCAUUUGAAACUGUUCUUCUUGAGUGAUGGAGAGGCAGGCGGAAUUCCUAGUGUAGCGGUGAAAUGCGUAGAUAUUAGGAGGAACACCAGUGGCGAAGGCGGCCUGCUGGACAUUAACUGACGCUGAGGCGCGAAAGCGUGGGGAGCAAACAGGAUUAGAUACCCGUGUAUA
rnacentral:rRNA from 1 species